AAGCAAAGUUAGCUGAGGAACCAGGUGAAAAUCAAGUCGCUUCAAUUAGCCAUUCCACUGUGUCUUGGCGAAACUCAUCGGAAGACAAACUUCUGGCUUCGGAAUAGAUAAGAACUGCUUUGACGAUGUGUGAGAUAUAAAUAAACACACCAUGUUGUGUCAUCUGCGAUUGGAGUUGUUGGAGUUGUCAAGUGACGCAUAUGAAAAAUAAUAGUCAGACACCGAGCAGAUAGCAAUCAGCAUCAAGUGGAAUCGACUGAAGUUGGGAUUAUCGAAAUGGAGA